GACGAACGCUGGCGGCGUGCCUAACACAUGCAAGUCGAACGGAAAGGCCCUGCUUUCGUGGGGUGCCCGAGGGGCGAACGGGUGUGUAACAUGUGAGUAACCUGCCCUUGACUUUGGGAUAACUUCAGGAAAGUGCGGCUAAUACCGGCUAGGAGCUCCUGCUGGAGGGUGGGGGUUGGAAAGUUUGGGCGGAGGGGGAUGGACGCCCGGGUUAUCAGCUGGUUGGUGGGGUAGUGGCUUACCAAGGCAUUGACGGAUAGCCGGCCUGAGAGGGUGACCGGCCACCUUGGGACUGAGGGACGGCGCAGACUGGUACGGGAGGCAGCAGGGGGGAACAUUGCACAGUGGGCGCGAGCCUGAUGCGGAGGCCCCGCGUGCGGAAAGACGGCCUUGGGGUUGGGAACCGCAUUCGCCUGAGACGAAGCGUGUGUGACGGUAAUAGGUGAAGAAGCACCGGCUAACUACGUG
rnacentral:rRNA from 1 species